CGCCACCCCGAGUCCCGAUGGAGACCCCGAGUCCCGAUGGAGACCCCGGGAGAUGCGCCCUCGGGGCUCCUCUGCCCAUGGGGUCACUGCAGAGCGUGUGCCUGGAGCUGAGUCUGCGCUCGUGUCCACCUGUGGUUUCUGGCGGUUUGGUGGCGCUGGGGCACCUCUGGGUGAUGCUAGACUAUGAAUUGCCCAAGGCCAUGAGCAGCUGCUGAGCAUCAUCUUGUGAUCACUCCACCAAAAGCCAGGCAGGUAGGCAGUGUGACUGCCAAGGACGUGAAGCCGACAGUCAGCAGCGUUGUUGACCACACAAAGGAAAGGAAGAGAAAGCAGGGAUGAGGCACGAGCCUGAUGAAGCUGUGCGCCUGCCCGGGAAGUUGAAAUCUUCUCCUCCGUGAUUGUCUUUCCUACGACCCGGGUCCUGCAGCUAAGCGUGCUCUCCAGCAGGUCCAGCCAAUAGCCCCACCUCUCCUGAUGAGAUGGGAAGGACUCACGUGUGCCUUGAAAUUCCAGAGCAUCCACCUUCUGCCCAAGCCCCGAGGAGAUUGAAGAUCUCACAUCUUUCCUCGCUGCAUCUUGCACGGGCCGGAGUAGAGCAAAUUACCUUGGCGAAAUAUGUCCUUCCCAACCGUUAACACUUUGGGAAAGAGAGUAAAGCGACAGAUCGGAGCAGAAUAUUUUGAAGAUCGUCCAGAAAUAGUGUGCUACUGGCUAACCUGUUAUGUAGAUCCAGGAGUGUCCGGGUGUUGGCACCGUCUUCCUUCAAUAGCAAAUGAUUUCGGGUGAGGACUCCCCCUGAUGAAGGCCCCGGAGCUGCCCUGGGACAGUGAUGCCAGGAGAGGAGAGCAAGGCGGUGGGAGGGCUGGCAUUGGAAGAAUCGGGGCUUGUCUAUGGGAAUGGGGGGGAUGCGUCAAUCCUACUGCUGGUUACUUUGAAA
rnacentral:lncRNA from 1 species